AAGCGAUUCCGGCUACGGAUGGUCAUGCGUCGCAUUAGCUAGUUGGCGGGGUAACGGCCCACCAAGGCGACGAUGCGUAGGGGUUCUGAGAGGAAGGUCCCCCACACUGGUACUGAGACACGGACCAGACUCCUACGGGAGGCAGCAGUGAGGAAUAUUGGUCAAUGGCCGCAGGGCUGAACCAGCCAAGUCGCGUGAGGGAUGACGGUCCUAUGGAUUGUAAACCUCUUUUGUCAGGGAGCAAAGGGCGCCACGUGUGGCGCUUUGCGAGUACCUGAAGAAAAAGCAUCGGCUAACUCCGUGCCAGCAGCCGCGGUAAUACGGAGGAUGCGAGCGUUAUCCGGAUUUAUUGGGUUUAAAGGGUGCGCAGGCGGAAUGUCAAGUCAGCGGUAAAAUUUCGGGGCUCAACCCCGUCGUGCCGUUGAAACUGGCGUUCUUGAGUGAGCGAGAAGUAUGCGGAAUGCGUGGUGUAGCGGUGAAAUGCAUAGAUAUCACGCAGAACUCCGAUUGCGAAGGCAGCAUACCGGCGCUCAACUGACGCUCAUGCACGAAAGCGUGGGUAUCGAACAGGAUUAGAUACCCUGGUAGUCCACGCAGU
rnacentral:rRNA from 1 species